GUGUGAAGGAAAGUAAUUGCCAAUAAAGGGAGACGGAAAAGCAAAAACACCAACAACAGUAGCUGCUCAGUUGUUCGUAAUGAUUUGAUGAACAGAUCUUAUGGUGUGUGUACUAAAUAGAAGUGUCUAAAUGAGUUCUCCAAUGUCUGUACAGCAGGGCACAAAAUAUGAAAUAGUUAAAAAAUGCUCAUAACCAUUGUUGGGGAUCUAGGCUACAGUUCUGCCGGCAGAACUUCUGACAUCGUCGUCGGUGAAGGCAUCGUUUCGUGUUUCUUGCUCCGCGAGUGUAUUAAAGACCACAACAGCUUUCGAUUGUAUGACUGGCUGAAAGCAACAGACGAGUGUAUGAAGGAAAAUAAUUGCAAAUAAAGGGAGAUUGAAAAGCAAAAACACAAACAAUAGAAGCUGUUCUGUUGUUUGCAUUGAUUUGAUGAACAGAUCUUUUAGUGUGUGAACUUAAAAGAAAUAUUGUGUUGCUAGAGGAUUUUUUCUUAUUAAAAAGAAGAGAGAUUGAGAGGGUUUAAAAAAUGUAAUCGUGGCAGAGGCAUAAUAUGACCUUGAAUAAAACUGAAAUUAUUGUUGAGUGCGUGCAGCGAAGUGAAAAGUAAAAGCACAAAACAGCAAGAAAGAUUUUGUCAUUUGCAUAAGGUAAUGAAUGACUAGUGUGUGUUAGUCGUUUUAAAAGAACGGUACUUGAACUUUGAAAUCUGUGUCGUACGUAAGAGACUUGGCGGUGAAUACGGUGGCGGCAAGGCAAUCUGGUUGUGAGCCUAUAGCAAAUGCAGAUAUAAGUAAAGGAGAACAACGUGAACUAAGAGCUCCCCACAAACGCGCGGAAUAAUGCGGAACAUAAUUUUAAGUACGAAAUAAUUAAAAAAACAUUUCGCUGGCUCAAGUCAAGUUAGAAAAUGGUUUUCUUUUGUGUUGUUAGCAAAUAUUGAAAGAACAAUAUAGUCAAAGACUCAAAUAAUAGUGAUGUGGAUGAAUGCAUAGAGCGUCUGCUUUGUAAACGGAAGAUUCCUGGUUCAACACUCGGCUGCGACAAAAGCACUGUGCCCAGUUCUCAUGGCUAGUCGUUUUAUGAAGUUCUGAAUUUAAAAUUUAUGGCUCCACAUUUUCGCACCACAAAAAUGUUUCACGGCAAUUACUACAAAUG